GGAUGAGCCCGCGGCCUAUCAGCUUGUUGGUGGGGUAAUGGCCUACCAAGGCGUCGACGGGUAGCCGGCCUGAGAGGGCGACCGGCCACACUGGGACUGAGACACGGCCCAGACUCCUACGGGAGGCAGCAGUGGGGAAUAUUGCACAAUGGGCGAAAGCCUGAUGCAGCGACGCCACGUGAGGGAUGACGGCCUUCGGGUUGUAAACCUCUUUCAGCAGGGAAGAAGCGCAAGUGACGGUACUUGCAGAAGAAGCGCCGGCUAACUACGUGACAGCAGCCGCGGCCG
rnacentral:rRNA from 1 species